GCCUGUCUUUUCUGUGGGAUACACAGGACAGUGCCAUGAUUCUAGUAGAUGGUAGAUGUGAGCCAGCCCGAAGGAACAUCAAGGAGAGUUCCAGGAAUGAACCGUGAAAUCCCUAAGGAUCCAAAAGGAUAUGCAGAAAGAAGAGCAGCACGUCAUACCCAAGACCAACAUCUCUCAGUGUUUCACGCUAACCCAAGGAGAGACACUAGCAGUCUUCUCUGCAGGACCCCUUGAAUUUACAUUGAAUUCCAUCCCCAGCCGAGCAGGUGCUUAAAGUCAACAGGGGACACUCCAUUUUCUUGGAAUUUCAUUCUGGCAAAGAGGGUGUGAGCAGCAAUAAGGUGGGUCUUCCUGAAGAACCAACCAAACUCAGGAGCUACCAGGCUGCUUGUUUCUGUGAAAAUGUUGUGAGUGUUGGAUGUCUGCAUGUGUGUGUGCCAUUGUGUGCUUAGGGGUGUGUGUGUGUGUGUGUGUGAGUGUGUGUGUGUUUGCCUUUAACUGGAGUCUGCUUAAAGGACUGUGGAUAAUGCAAAAAAAAAAAA
rnacentral:lncRNA from 1 species